AAGGGAGCUUGCUCCCGGAUGUUAGCGGCGGACGGGUGAGUAACACGUGGGUAACCUGCCUGUAAGACUGGGAUAACUCCGGGAAACCGGAGCUAAUACCGGAUAGUUCCUUGAACCGCAUGGUUCAAGGAUGAAAGACGGUUUCGGCUGUCACUUACAGAUGGACCCGCGGCGCAUUAGCUAGUUGGUGGGGUAAUGGCUCACCAAGGCGACGAUGCGUAGCCGACCUGAGAGGGUGAUCGGCCACACUGGGACUGAGACACGGCCCAGACUCCUACGGGAGGCAGCAGUAGGGAAUCUUCCGCAAUGGACGAAAGUCUGACGGAGCAACGCCGCGUGAGUGAUGAAGGUUUUCGGAUCGUAAAGCUCUGUUGUUAGGGAAGAACAAGUGCGAGAGUAACUGCUCGCACCUUGACGGUACCUAACCAGAAAGCCACGGCUAACUACGUGCCAGCAGCCGCGGUAAUACGUAGGUGGCAAGCGUUGUCCGGAAUUAUUGGGCGUAAAGGGCUCGCAGGCGGUUUCUUAAGUCUGAUGUGAAAGCCCCCGGCUCAACCGGGGAGGGUCAUUGGAAACUGGGAAACUUGAGUGCAGAAGAGGAGAGUGGAAUUCCACGUGUAGCGGUGAAAUGCGUAGAGAUGUGGAGGAACACCAGUGGCGAAGGCGACUCUCUGGUCUGUAACUGACGCUGAGGAGCGAAAGCGUGGGGAGCGAACAGGAUUAGAUACCCUGGUAGUCCACGCCGUAAACGAUGAGUGCUAAGUGUUAGGGGGUUUCCGCCCCUUAGUGCUGCAGCUAACGCAUUAAGCACUCCGCCUGGGGAGUACGGUCGCAAGACUGAAACUCAAAGGAAUUGACGGGGGCCCGCACAAGCGGUGGAGCAUGUGGUUUAAUUCGAAGCAACGCGAAGAACCUUACCAGGUCUUGACAUCCUCUGACAACCCUAGAGAUAGGGCUUUCCCUUCGGGGACAGAGUGACAGGUGGUGCAUGGUUGUCGUCAGCUCGUGUCGUGAGAUGUUGGGUUAAGUCCCGCAACGAGCGCAACCCUUGAUCUUAGUUGCCAGCAUUCAGUUGGGCACUCUAAGGUGACUGCCGGUGACAAACCGGAGGAAGGUGGGGAUGACGUCAAAUCAUCAUGCCCCUUAUGACCUGGGCUACACACGUGCUACAAUGGACAGAACAAAGGGCUGCAAGACCGCAAGGUUUAGCCAAUCCCAUAAAUCUGUUCUCAGUUCGGAUCGCAGUCUGCAACUCGACUGCGUGAAGCUGGAAUCGCUAGUAAUCGC
rnacentral:rRNA from 1 species